UUAAAACUCAAAUGAAUUGACGGGGGCCCGCACAAGCGGUGGAGCAUGUGGUUUAAUUCGAUGCAACGCGAAGAACCUUACCUGGUCUUGACAUCCACGGAAGUUUUCAGAGAUGAGAAUGUGCCUUCGGGAACCGUGAGACAGGUGCUGCAUGGCUGUCGUCAGCUCGUGUUGUGAAAUGUUGGGUUAAGUCCCGCAACGAGCGCAACCCUUAUCCUUUGUUGCCAGCGGUCCGGCCGGGAACUCAAAGGAGACUGCCAGUGAUAAACUGGAGGAAGGUGGGGAUGACGUCAAGUCAUCAUGGCCCUUACGACCAGGGCUACACACGUGCUACAAUGGCGCAUACAAAGAGAAGCGACCUCGCGAGAGCAAGCGGACCUCAUAAAGUGCGUCGUAGUCCGGAUUGGAGUCUGCAACUCGACUCCAUGAAGUCGGAAUCGCUAGUAAUCGUGGAUCAGAAUGCCACGGUGAAUACGUUCCCGGGCCUUGUACACACCGCCCGUCACACCAUGGGAGUGGGUUGCAAAAGAAGUAGGUAGCUUAACCUUCGGGAGGGCGCUUACCACUUUGUGAUUCAUGACUGGGGUGAAGUCGUAACAAGGUAACCGUAGGGGAACCUGCGGUUGGA
rnacentral:rRNA from 1 species